rnacentral:tRNA from 1 species
GGAGAGGUCGCAUAGUCUGGCUUAGUGCGCCAUCUUGGAAAGGUGGUGAGGGGCAACCCUCCGGGGGUUCGAAUCCCCCCCUCUCCGCCA